rnacentral:lncRNA from 1 species
CCCAAGGUGGUCAGUGAAGGUGCAGCUGUACAAUUACAAGAAAUCUAGUCAAGCAUAUCAAAACAUGACAAAUGAUACCAAGGACAACAGGAUUCAUGCAGGAAAUAAAACGCUAAGAAAAAUUAUUUUCAGGCUAAGAAAAAUAACAUUGAGUUCAAUAAACAAGAGACCACCUCCUUGCAUACUCGAACAUUCCUGGUAGACGGGAUUCCAUUUCUAUGAAGGUUUCCAUGUCCAUUGGAAGGGGUUUUAUGAAAUAUCCAAUGUCAGGCCGCAACUUA